rnacentral:rRNA from 1 species
GUAGGGGGCAAGCGUUAUCCGGAUUUACUGGGUGUAAAGGGAGCGUAGACGGCGAUGUAAGUCUGGAGUGAAAGCCCGCGGCCCAACUGCGGGACUGCUCUGGAAACUGUGUUGCUAGAGUACAGGAGGGGCAGGCGGAAUUCCUGGUGUAGCGGUGAAAUGCGUAGAUAUCAGGAGGAACACCGGCGGCGAAGGCGGCCUGCUGGACUGCAACUGACGUUGAGGCUCGAAAGCGUGGGGAGC